AGAUACUUUUAUUCAGUAUAGCGAGGAGUCGGACUUACUUGGAUAUCGUGCGGAUAUAAAGAAAUUAUUAAGUAGAGAAUAAUAUAUAUAUAAAAAAUAAAACAAAAUGCCUUGCCCUUGUGGAACUGAUUGCAAAUGUGGAAAAGGUGGAGAUACUGGAAAGAAAGGUUGUACUUGCGGACCGAACUGCACCUGCACUACAACCAAAUCAUGCGGUUGCAAAUAAAACUUUGAGCAAAACAUCAUUAAAUUUUGUUAAAAGAAAAACAAAUUAAAAAUUAAUUAUUUUUCAAAUUGCAUUAUCACAGCUUAAUAAUGUUACUUAUAUUCAUAUGUUAAAGUAUUAUAAACAACAAUAAAUAAUUCAAAAAAUAGA